GAAAUACUUUGGGUAAUUGCUAACUUAUACUGUCAGAAGAUGAAAUCUUCAAAAUACAUUCAGUUUUUAACAUACAAGUUGUUGACUUGAAUGAUUAAAAAACCUCUAGCAAAUGUAAUUAAAUUUUAAUAAUUAAUAUGCAGUUUUAUUUUUGUAAUUUUCCAAACUGUGAUAAGAAAUGUCUAUUCCCAAAAAGUUGAGUAUAUAGAAUCUCUUUCAUUACCUGUAUUAAACUUGUAAUUCACCUCAACUGAUUAAGAAUGUUUAUGCAAGAGCAGAACAGCAGGGAAUCCAUUUAGGUAAAGCACUCUGAUGAAUAACUGUAAGCUUAAGAUUAACCUGGUAUCUAAAUUCUUGCUACAUUCAGACUAAAGAACAUAAUGAGAUAUUUAACGAUAAUCUUCAGACUAGAAUCUGAGAAAGAAGUAUUUGAUGCAGAAUGAAAGAAAGGGAUUAGUUUUGCUUUUCUCUUUCCCCUCCUCUCCAGCAGCUCAAUUUUAUUCAGUGCAAGCCAUCUUGCAGUGCAGGCUGCUCCCUGCAGAGUUUGUGGAAUUGUGAUGCUCAUGCUCUGUAUCCUGAUUAAAAGGCAAUAGGUCCACUCAAAGUUAAAGUUAUGGUAGAAUCUGAACAGUGGAAGUUAUUCUGAAAGAAGACAAAGAAAUAGAUAAAGGAUAAAGAAGAGAUGAGUGAAAGAAAAAAAAAAGAGGAAAAGGAGAGUGUGUCUGUGAGAAAAGAGAAAAAAAGGGCUGUGUGUGUAUUAAUGGUUAUUUUGGAAGCAAAAGGAUAGUUUGUAAAAGAUCCCAAGAGAUAAUCAUGUUUCUUCAAACCUUCACAGCCAGCACGUUAGUGAAAGUAAUCAAUGGAGAUUUUCUUCCCUUCUUCCCUUUCUUCCUUCCUUUCUCUGUAAUAUGAAUAUGUUAUUAAUUCUACAGAUGUUUUUAUGAGUUUCUGGGGAAUUAGAAAUGAGCACAGCUUUAAGAAUAUUAUGUAUACAUAAUUGCAUGGCUCUGGCAACAAAGAGGAAUUGUAUCUCAUGUUCAGGAUAAUAUUUUUAUGCUAUAAGAUUUAGAUAAUGAAAAGAAAAAGAAUUAAGAUGAUGAUUUAAUAGCCUUUAAUCCUGGUGAUUGAAUAAAUGAGGUGAUGUCUUGCAAGGCAAAGAAUGACAAUAUGCUCACUGUACUUCCUGAAUGGAUGUAGACACUUCAGUCUUUGAUAGCACUUUCAUGUUUGUUUUUCCCAUGUUACUGCAUUAAAUGCUGUAAAGGCAACUGAAUAGCAAAGAGCACUGUAACAAAAAAAAGUAUAAUUUAUCUUGAGAGAGAUGAGAAAGAUUAUGUCUUAGAAUAUUACACUGGGUAAAUGCCCAGUAAAAAGAGGAUUGUAAUCAUUGACUGAGAUCUCUGUUUGGUGACAGUCAACAUCAUAGCAAGAGGAAAUGCAGAUGAUUCCUGGUUUUUGUUUCUGCAACAUAGGGAUGGGUUAUUCUAUAGAGGCUGAAAUAAAAAGUCACUGGCAGAAUGACUCACUGAGGGAGUAACUUUGAUGUAACUGUCAUAUUCUGAUCCUGUCAGAGGUUUAUUAAGUAAAUAAGACCUUGACAAGCAGGAAUGCCAAUGGUAUCAAUCAAAUUUUGAAGACAUCCUGUAUUUUGGUUUGAAAUAUCCACUACCAAAUGGAUCUUUUCGUUAGUUCAGUUCCCUCAGUGGAAAAUUAUGAAAAGCGGGUUAUGUGCAUGUGUAAGAUCUGUGUAUAUGUUCACUGUCUCACACGUGACUAGCAUGGAUCCUAAUUUCUCUAUGUUUUACCACAGCUAGAGGAGAAGAUGGGUGCAUUCCUUCUACGUGUAAAUGAAAAAUGUUCUUGGCUAUCAGUUUUGUCAUUAGAGCUCAAUUUUCCAUUUUGUAUAUGGAACAUAUGUUGCCAGAGGAGGAUCAUAUGUUGUGGAUAGAACUGUAGUUGUAACCUAAAAUUUUCAAUGUUCUGCUUGACUUUCAAGAAUUAGCAAAUUCUUAUUCUUACAAAAUGUUCCUAAGUUUCUGCAUAUCUUCAUGCAACAUAUGUUUUGAGGCAUGCUACAUAUGUAGCAUAUGUAAAUAAAAACUUGUGCAUUUUUGUUAGUGUUUAUGUAUAAGGUUAUUUAAUGUUUUGGUUUUUUUUCUAUUUUAUCCAGGAGAUGUAUAUACGAUUAACUAAAUGGAGUGGAAAUCAAAGAGAGGAUUGAUUUAGGUACAAGUGGCCUAGAGGGAAGAAACAGUUGAGGGGUAGUAGCUCUUUGAAGAAAUAUCACAGACAACAGAAUUAACACGGGCAACAAGACACGAUUUUUCACUUCCUUCAUUAACAUUGCAGAUAAAAAUAACUACGCAAUUUUGAUUUUCAACUCUCAAUCUGAAUUGUCACAGCAGUAUGGAUGGUAUAAAGAAGAUAAAUCGGGUGACUUUGUUCUUCAUUUUAUAAUGGUUAGAAACACACUAUUUAAGUAAAUAAAUACUCAAGUUAAUUGCAUUUUGGAAUUAAUUGUAUCAUGUAAUCUGAAGAGAGAUUGGUAUAAAGCACGCAUAUUAAUUUUGAGAUUCUCUUAAGUCACAUUUGUUUAGGAGACAGGUUUUUUUCACACAGGAUGUCUCCAUUUGCUGCACUAUCUCAAACAAACAGCAACAUUUGAAUUUUUUAGAAGGAAAUAUAAACUCAAUAGGGAACAUUUAUUCCUUUACAAAGUGAUUUGGUUGACUCAUGCCCUGAAGAAUGAUGGCUUGUAUUAGAUAACUUUAAUUAGUUAUAGCGAGUCAUUGUCUUUUAAAAAGAAAUAUCAUUUCUUGCAAGACAGAAGCAUCCAAUAUAUAACCAAUCUGAGAGUGGACCUUAAAACAAAUUGAGGUCAAAUCAUGUUAUAUGCUUAGAAAACUUAGUUUAUGGAAUACAAGUAAAAGAUUCUAUUUUUUUCUCUUAAAUGAAAAUCUGUAUCAGACAGUAACGUAGUUCUUGACAAUAGAAUUUGGUCCCCACAUCAGGAAUGUAUGUCACAGACAGAUUGGAUGUUUCAUUGUACUGCCAUUCCCAUUCCACUGGUUGCAGCAUUCAAUUUUUAUGUUCAAAUGUCAUUAUAAAGCAGCUGUUUGUUUUGAGAAAUUACUAACGAUGGGUGUAUUUUGCUCUCAGUUUUCUAACAGAAACACAGGAGAGUGAGAAUGGCAGCAGGGUAGGAGAUUGUUACAACUGAAGUAAUCUUUACUUGCAAAUUUCUUCUGCCUUUUGAUCUGUCAGCAAGUCCCUCUUCAGAGCAGAUGCAAUUUCCAAUAUGUUAACAGCAACGGAGAUCUCUGCAGAGGUUGAAAAUGAGCAGUGCUGACACUCUAAUCUGUGAAGCUGAAGAGAGAUGUCUUGGAAAUUUGGGGCCCAAAAGGUACAAAUAAUAAUAAAAAAAAAACAUUGAAAAAAAUACAAGAAUAUUUAAUUUGCAAGUAUGUUUAUCAGUAUGUAAAAUGUAUAGUAAAUAGAGUUUUGGACAAAGUUCUUGGAACUAAGAAAGAUAGAUACUUUAUUUUUAGUAUCAUAGUAACAUACCCACCCAAUAAACUCCCCAGCCUCUGUUCUAAGAAGCUUGAGAGUUUGCCAGAACAGCAGAACACCAUUUUUAUUUUUAGUAGAAAAUACAGAUCUGUUAUUAGCAGCAGCAAAAUGUGGAAUUUUGCACAUUUGCAGGAAAUUUGCAAACAGCCAUACACAUAACAGUCUGUUUUUGACUUUUACCACAGAUUUUCCUCUCAAAAUCAAGGUGUUAUGUAAAGAACGUCUUUCAUGACUUGAUGCUCCAGGCACAGAGCUGAAGUUGUAGGUUUCUCCUCCUUGUCCCCUCCUAUCUAAUGUUUUUUCUCUCCUCUUCAUCCUCCAAAAAAAAGAAUGAGACUUGAUGGAGCAUUCAGUUGUUGCUUUUUUUUGGUAGAAACAGUCUGUUAGGGCCAUGGAGAAGAUUGCCCAGGACACCUGAAGGCAUUAUUUUGUGCCAGUCAUCGCAAGGUAUGGUUUUUAAAGUGUUCAUGAUCAAAAAUCUAAGAGUUGGACACUCAUUUCAACUGUGAUCAAUGUAUAGUUGGGUAAUUAUAAAGUAGAAUAAAGCUGAAAGUUUAUUUGAAUUGCCAAAAACAGCUUUCUUAAUGGGAAACACAUUGAAACUAUUUCUCAUUCGGAACUGAAUGAAUGACAUCAUGGCUAAAACCUUCAACUGACGGUAUAUUUGAUACAUAUCAAUAAUGUAAAGUUGCCGUAGAAAGCAGUCUACGGGAUUUCUAAUACUUCAGCUAUUGUUGAGUGCUGAAAAGUACUUCAGAUUUCUUUUUCAUAGGGACCCAAAGCAAAUUCUCAUGGGUUUUUAUCAAAGAAAAGACAGAAUUACUUUUGAAAUGCUGCUGAAUUCUCAUUAAGUUUGAAAUACUUGUACAGUAUGCAACAUCUGCAGUCUUUCUUUUCUCCACAAAGAACAAGUACCACAUGCAAGAUAGAAUAUUAAUUGAUUUUUUCUUUUAUGCAUUUUUAGUAAUGCAAGUCACUUGAGGAAAAAACUUAAUUGCAAUGGCACAACAUCCACAGACUCUCAAUAGGCGGAGUAUAAUGAAUGAUUAAAUGUGAGGUCUCACUACUAUGGCAGAAAAUUGGACAAACCUAAUGAUAUCAAUGGCUCUUUCAUUUUUGCAGAUUUCUUAUGAUUAAAUUAAAACGGGAGCCAAAAAUUUCUCCAGCAUAAAAAUCACUUAAGUGUUCUUGUUACAUGGAAGUGAAACAGAAGUCGUGAUUUCAAAUCUUUUUCACGUCCAGUAGCCUCCAGAGAGUGUGAUAGUAGCAGUGGUGCACCCAGACACCUUGAAGCUGAUCUAUUUGCUGACAACCUGAGAAACAGGAAGCCCUUUGUCUCUAAAGGUCUCUAAGAUCCAAAGAGGCUUCACAAUGGGUUUGUUACCAGUGUAGCAGGGGUACAUGCAGAGAAGAAACUCGUCAGUGUUUCUGUGGUUUAAAAAAUGCAGCACAUGGUGCUAUUUAAGAAACCUGCCCAGUGAAAUCACUGCAAGUCCCAUUGUAAGGAGAUUCUGUAUGGAUGUUAGACCCAUUCAGAGUUCUUUCAUUAUAAACAGCAGUUUCUAUGGUCCUCAGAAAUUUUUAUUCUUGAAAGAACCCAUGUUUUUUAUUCUGGCCAUAUCUCUACCACUGCUUACUCAAAUCAGUAUAGCUGAGGUCAUUUUGCAUUUCUUGUCUGGGGUUGUCAAAUUUAUUUUCAGCCUUGUCAAGUUCACUCUUUGCUUUUUUUCUCUGUGCCAAGGGGACAUUUAGUAUAAAAGUGCUUCUGUUGGCAUUUCUUCUUUUGUCCUCCUUUUGACAUACUGCCUUUUGUGCCACAUAUUGCUCCGUGACUGCUCCUGGUUGAUUUUAAACCACAGACUAUUUUCUUUCUUUUCUUCAUCGUCUCUCUUACAACCCUAAUGCAACCUUCAGGCUCCCCGUGGGAAAAGCAGAUAUUUAUGGUAUUUGGUUUGCUAUUCUUGUUUCAUCUGAAGUGAACUCAAAAAUUUGAUCAGAAUACCUUGAAAAAUAAAUUAUGCAAUUCUACACCAGGAUUUGGGAAAAGUGUAGUUUCUCUUACCAGUAGUAAAAUGCUCCCAGUGGUACACUCUGCAUCAUAAAAAUCAUCUCAUCAGCUCUGAUGACUUUUGAAAAACAAAAGCCAAGCACAGCUUUGAGGUAGAUUGAAAUCAAAAUAUUUUCAAGUGAUACGCUAUCGAAUGGAGAAUAGAUAAAUCCCACAAGGGCAAAAUUUCAUUACUUAUUAAUCCCAUAAUUUGCUUAAAUUAAUAGCUACCUAUAGUCAGAUAUUUGUUCUCUUACUGAUAAGCAACUCACAAUUCAAUUUUGUCCUGGGGGGCUCACUACCCAGAGUUAAAUUGCUGUAGAUAAAAUCAAUCAUAGGUAAAAUUUAAAAUGUCUUUAUUGAAAAAAAAAUCAAAAUAAGUAAAUACAAAAUAAAUAUAAAAGCCAAAAGGUUAGGAAGUAGAAUGUAUAAAAACUAAAUGGAAAUUUGUAGAAAUUUGCUUCAGUGGUAGAAAUCUGAAUAUAGUUUUUAAAACUCUGUCCUAUUGGCAAUUUCACAUUUUAACAAUGAAUGUAGGAACUGCUAACUCAUUCCAAAAUCAUAUUCUCUUUCUUGAACAGGUAAAGAAUCAAAAGUCAAGGAACUGGAUCCAAAACACCUCCUUGCCUUUGGCAUAAGCUCUAUGAUAUCAUGUCUGAAGCAGAGCUUAGAGACUGCCACGUGGCACACAUUUAUAGCAGCACUGAUCUAAUUUGUAUUAGUAAGCAAACUGCCUACUGAAUUUUUCUACUGAAUUCAUGGUACCGAUUAUAGUAAUCACUUUGCUACACUACUGUAAACAGCUUCCAUUUGUUCACAGAUCAGUUCACAGAUUGAUCUGUAGAGUAAAAUUACACAUUUCCAUGCUUGCCUGUUUCUAUGCACUUAUUGAUUUGUUGUGUAUUCACCAGGAAGCCCCCAGCACGUCUGUGGCUUUUAUAGCAUGUGGUGCUAACCAGGGAAGCACUGCUCACUCGCUCAAGCUUCUGCCGGGUGCAGUGGUUCAAUCUUCAAAAUUUGGAGUUUCUGUGAUGCCAUCAGAUUCUUCCUUCCUUCCAUUUUGUUUUGCACUUCUGUGGAAUAAAAAUCUGCCAAUAAUUCCUCAGUGAACAUCUUAAAAUUUCCUCCCGUGAGAACCUGCUGGACGGGAAUACAAUCCAAAACUGUGUGAGAACUAAUCAGUGCUGUACUUGGCAUGAACUUAAGGGCACAUUUGUAUACCUCGAAGUUUAGAAAAAUGUGGUGAGUAGAUGGUCUUCAGAUCUCUGGAGCAACCCUUUCACAUCCAGAAACAGUCCCGCUCUUCAGUCCCAUUUCAGCUGUAUGGGCUGGUGGCAACCACUGCUUAAUUGGAAGGUCACUGUGCCACCAGCCUUUUCUUUGCCAUGGCAAAGACCCAACCCGCUAAUGAAAAUGAGACAGUCUGGCCUAUACUUGAAGGGAGAAAGUGCUAAGCCAACCAUCUUCCAUUUCUGAAGGGACAAAGUAUACCUUUCCCAAGCUGUUCUCUAGGGAAAGCAAGCUGUGGGGUAUUUGUGGGGAAAAGUGCAGUUGUUAAGGACUAUUUCGACAGUGACAACAGUUGAAAUAGUAGCACUAACUAUUUACAUAAUAACCUGUGUUACUGUAUUGAAGAAUUUUUUAAUCUGGACACUGGAAAAGGCACAACGGAGUCUGAUUAGCUCAGUUUACAAGACUCUGAGAUUAAAUGCUCAUCAGGGUAUUACAUUUGAUGUUGGAUCAAAUUAAAUCUAGCAGUGGAGUGGUUCUUUGCUUUCUCAAACUAAUAACCAUGUAUUUCUGCUUUGCUUAUCUGAGGGCUAUAUCUGUAGGUAAAUGCCAUAAAAUAAAAUUGCAGUGGUACACUUGUGAAGUGGAUAUCAAUCAAUCAGGAUAAUUAAACCACUAUUCUUCAUUCUCCCUCAUUUUUAUUUUUAAUUUUUUAUUUUUAUUUUUUUUUACUGUAGAUGGAUAUAAUUUUAUAACUGAGACUGUAUAACAUAAUGUGGAGCUUAGGUGUCUAUCAUGUGUGUCUUAGUUUCAGCUGGAACAGAAUUGAUUUUCCUCAGCAUGUCUGAGAAGACACUAUGUUUUGGUUUUAGGAGAAAAGCAGUGUAAACAACACCAGCAUUUCUAGUUGUUGCUAAGCAGAGCUAUACAGAGCCAAGAACAUACAGUUUUCCCUACAAUCUUGCCAGUGAGGAAUGGGCCAAAGAUGCUGGCAGUGGGGGAGUGAGCCAACAACUACAUAGGGCUAAACUAUCUGUCAACUUAAACCACAGUACUUCAGAGAAACAAAACCAGCAGCUCUAAUGAUCAGAGCCAAGCAAUCCUAGAAUGUGCAAGAAGGUUCAAAAGAGGAAGAGGAGGGAUAAAGCAUUAGUAGACAGAACCUCACUUACAGUUAUUGGGCAGCCAGCAGUGUAUUACCAUCCCUGAGCACGCCCCAUUCAUGCCACAAAACCAAAGAAAUGUCCAAAAAUUGGAUAACACUUUGGCAAACACCCAAAGAGAACAGAAUGCAGCUCGAGUGUUUCUGAAAGCCAGGCAUCGAAUUUGCGUGACAACAUACGUCUGAGCCUGCUUUACAGACACAAGACAUGGGAAGAGAUAGAGGGAAGAGCUCUGCCACAGCUGUCAACACUUCACCCAAAACUAAGACACCAAAUUCCUCAGUUCAGUUUAUAGGCAUUUCCUCAUGGUUAAAGGAAGGAAAUAAAUGGUGGAAAGGCAGUAUUCCCGGUAAGAAAUUAGCAGCACUUUGAUUUCUUGGAGAGAACUGGAGACUGUCUGUUCUGUUUGUGUGGGAAGGAAUAUGUUUCCUUUUUAUCCUUCACCGUUUGAGCAGGGUUCUGAGUUUUCUUAUCUUUGUCAACAGAAACAAUUGAAUCAUGGAUUAUCGUAGAGUUAAUAGGUAUACCAUCUCUGGUCACUAGAUGGAGGUAGGUAACCAAAAUGAGGACGAAUUGCACGCAUCUUCUACCUUAAACUCUGUAGUCCUUUGGACUGCAAGGAAUCUAUUUUAUCCUUGGAAAUGCUUCUCACACCGGCUUGCUUGAGAACAGCAUGACAUCAGUAUUUGCCAAACCAUAGGUCUGUAUCAAGCAAAACUUAUUCA